rnacentral:rRNA from 1 species
AAUGAACGUUGGCGGCGUGGAUUAGGCAUGCAAGUCGAGCGAGAACCUUUUUACGGAAGCUUCGGCCGAAGUAUUAAGGGGACAGCGGCAAACGGGGUAGUAAUGCGUCGGAAUGUGCCCUCAGGUCGGGGAUAGCCGUGGGAAACUGCGGGUAAUACCCGAUAAUCUCGAGAGAGCAAAGGUCCGCCGUCUGAGGAGCGGCCGACGUGGUACCAGGUUGUUGGUGAGGUAACGGCUCACCAAGCCUAAGACGCCUAGGGGGUGUGAGAGCAUGGCCCCCACCACUGGGACUGAGACACUGCCCAGACACCUACGGGUGGCUGCAGUCGAGAAUCUUCGGCAAUGGGCGCAAGCCUGACCGAGCGACGCCGCGUGCGGGAUGACGGCCCUUGGGUUGUAAACCGCUGUCAGAGGGGAGAAAGCUUCGGCUUGACCGAGCCUCAGAGGAAGCACGGGCUAA